CAAAGUUCACCGAAAUCACGAUACUUGUGCUUCUCUUUAAGCACAAAUAUUGCGCUGUGCAGUUUGCACACAAUCAAGAUUGCCAACGUUUGCGAAUGUACACCACUGUGUCAAGUGUCAAAUCAACUUAUGGUGUAAAGUGUUUGGUGCUAGUAAACUUAUCAUUGAACUUUUGACGAGCAGCGAGUCUUCCAGCACCUAGUAAAUAUUACCUGACGCAGUGUUACAACAGAUGAAAAGCGAUGGUAGAUCUACAUCAUGCCACCCCCCAGAAGGUAAACUAGGAAGUGCUUCAAAGGCAGUACAGAAAGUUUCACUUACAUCAGGAGAUGAGUCUGGUCGGCAAUGGAAGGAUCCAAUUAACAUUUUAUGCCCACCCCUGAUACUGAGUCAAUGAUACACCUGACCCACCAUAAGAUCAACAGAUAUCAGUAGCAUGAAGAAAUGUUACAGUCUCAAAAUUGAUGAUGAUGUUUUCAGGGCCUCAAAUGCAUUACUGUAUGAUAAAAUCCAAAACUUAAUAUACUAUGCAUCAUUCAGAAUCCCACAAAUUAGGUUUCACUGUCAGUAUAACUACAACAUAUUUUGAUGUCCGACCUAAUUUUACUGUAUAGUGAGUGAAUUGGCAUAUGUGAGGAGUGUGCUACCAUCUAGUGGGAUUUAUGGCAAGUGAACACGGAUAAAAGUCUGCUGCAGUGUGCUACCACCUGGUAGUAUUGAAUGUUUUUCAGAUGGGCUGAGAAGAGGACAUCAAAAUGUGUGUGCAGCAUAGUUGCAUGCUUACAAGGCCUUGAGUCAAGUUUUCCGGACAGACUGGAAUUGGUGUAAGGGGUUUGUGGUCCAGCAGUCACCAGUGGAUAUCGUUAGUGUGUGCAACGAUGUAGAGAAAAACUAUGUUUUAUAGGAUAAGUAAUAUGCACCAAAUUGUGUGAAAAUCAAAGAACAUUGUGUAUAGAUCAACCGAGUGAGGCAGUGUAGCUGUUAAAGAUACUGACC